AAAGAAGAGCCCUGUGUGUCUGGUAAAUAUAGACCAAAAAGUCAUAUAGUCCCGAACAGAUUCACCAGGGAUUCCAUCUGUUGAUCUGAUGAUGGUUUUUCACUUGAGAGUUUCUCAGGUUGUCCUGGUUCUUUGUAAGCCACUUUUGCUGCUGCACAGUUAUGCACAAUUCGGGCUGCCAUUAAAGCAAAGAGUAGCUCCUUUCCUGUUCCUCUGGCUGGAAAGACCAUUUCUGAAAUUCGCUGCCUGAACCAAUUGCCCAGAAGCUGGAGCUGCCCUUGGACCAAAGCACAAAGAAAAAAGAGGAGAGAAUUAAUUGGGAAACUCACCCAAUAAAGAUUGUUUAUCAA